GCCAGACUCCUACGGGAGGCAGCAGUGGGGAAUAUUGGACAAUGGGGGGAACCCUGAUCCAGCGACGCCGCGUGAGUGAAGAAGUAUUUCGGUAUGUAAAGCUCUAUCAGCAGGGAAGAAGAAAGACGGUACCUGACUAAGAAGCCCCGGCUAACUACGUGCCAGCAGCCGCGGUAAUACGUAGGGGGCAAGCGUUAUCCGGAUUUACUGGGUGUAAAGGGAGCGUAGACGGCUGUGCAAGUCUGAAGUGAAAGCCCAGGGCUCAACCCUGGGACUGCUUUGGAAACUGUGGAGCUAGAGUGCUGGAGAGGUAAGUGGAAUUCCUAGUGUAGCGGUGAAAUGCGUAGAUAUUAGGAGGAACACCAGUGGCGAAGGCGGCUUACUGGACAGUAACUGACGUUGAGGCUCGAAAGCGUGGGGAGCAAACAGGAUUAGAUACCCCCGUA
rnacentral:rRNA from 1 species